UACGUAGGGGGCGAGCGUUGUCCGGAUUUAUUGGGCGUAAAGAGCUCGUAGGCGGUUCGGCAAGUCGACGGUGAAAUCUCCACGCUCAACGUGGAGGGGUCCGUCGAUACUGCCGUGACUCGAGUCCGGUAGGGGAGUGUGGAAUUCCCGGUGUAGCGGUGAAAUGCGCAGAGAUCGGGAGGAACACCCGUAGCGAAGGCGGCACUCUGGGCCGGUACUGACGCUGAGGAGCGAAAGCCAGGGGAGCAAACGGG
rnacentral:rRNA from 1 species